rnacentral:rRNA from 1 species
UACGGGGGGGGCAAGCGUUGUUCGGAAUUACUGGGCGUAAAGGGCGCGUAGGCGGCCGCCUAAGUCAGACGUGAAAUCCCUCGGCUCAACCGGGGAACUGCGUCUGAUACUGGGUGGCUUGAAUCCGGGAGAGGGAUGCGGAAUUCCAGGUGUAGCGGUGAAAUGCGUAGAUAUCUGGAGGAACACCGGUGGCGAAGGCGGCUACCUGGACCGGUUCUGACGCUGAUGCGCGAAAGCGUGGGGAGCAAACAGG